rnacentral:rRNA from 1 species
GAUGAACGCUAGCGGCAGGCUUAAUACAUGCAAGUCGAACGGGAUUGAGAAGCUUGCUUUUCAUGAGAGUGGCGCACGGGUGCGUAACACGUAUGCAACCUACCUUGUCCAGGGGGAUAGCCCGUUGAAAGACGGAUUAAGACCGCAUAACAUUGAGCCGUGGCAUCACAAAUCAAUCAAAUAUUUAUAGGGACAAGAUGGGCAUGCGCCUGAUCAGGUAGUUGGCGGGGUAAUGGCCCACCAAGCCGACGAUCAGUAGGGGAUCUGAGAGGAUGACCCCCCACACUGGUACUGAGACACGGACCAGACUCCUACGGGAGGCAGCAGUAAGGAAUAUUGGUCAAUGGGCGAAAGCCUGAACCAGCCAUGCCGCGUGCAGGAAGACGGCCCUACGGGUUGUAAACUGCUUUUAUACGGGAAUAACCCCGGUUUCGUGAAACCGGCUGAAUGUACCGUAAGAAUAAGGAUCGGCUAACUCCGUGCCAGCCGCCGCCGUAA